rnacentral:rRNA from 1 species
UACCAGCACCCCGAGUGGUCGGGACGUUUUAUUGGGCCUAAAGCAUCCGUAGCCGGUUCUACAAGUCUUCCGUUAAAUCCACCUGCUCAACAGUUGGGCUGCGGGGGAUACUACAGGGCUAGGAGGCGGGAGAGGCAAGCGGUACUCAGUGGGUAGGGGUAAAAUCCGCUGAUCCAUUGAAGACCACCAGUGGCGAAGGCGGCUUGCCAGAACGCGCUCGACGGUGAGGGAUGAAAGCUGGGGGAGCAAACCGG